UAAAAAUGUAUUUUUUACACAAAAAUAAUGAGUCUUAUUUCUGUCUAUUCCAAUGCGUGGCCUCGCCCCUCCGAGUUUUAAUUCACUCUGCCUCCACACAUUAUGCUUCAACGAGGUACGUCUCUCUCUACGUAUCUCUGUUUCUCUAUUUUUGGUUUUUUAUGGUCUGGUGGGUUUUGCUCAUAUUUCAGUGGUGUUUUCUAUCUGAUCGGUUAACAGAGAGAGAGAGAGGAAGAAGGAGAGGAGUCAUUUAUCAGUUGGUUUCAAAUACUUUGAAAAAUCAAUGCAGGAAUCGGAGUUGGAGGAGCAAUAUCUCUUCGAAGCCCAACCUCUGUGCUUAGUUAUGAUUGACCGUCGAACUCUGUGGAGUUCACAUUGAUUGUUUCCUGCCAAAUUAAGCCGAAUCAAGGUACAAAUGAUUGAACUGAACAUAGUACCGGAAGUCGGGGAAGUCGUGGAGGAAGAAGAUGGAGUCGGGGCGCAGAAGCCGGCCUUCCUCUUCCCUCGUAUCCCACACCAAUAUUCACUGACACCAUUUUGAAGAAGAGAAAUCAGGAUUCUCGAAGUCAAUGGUAUAGAAAAUAGAAGAGAAGAAGAAGAUGAAUACGUUGGGAUGAUGUGUGGGGCUCUAACCUCUGGUACUUGCAGAGCUAUUGGCUUUAAUCAUCAUUACUUUUUUCGAUAUAAACCAUGGUAUUCCAAAGUUCAGUUGGGUUCCGACUAAUCCAGUCGAGCCGGGUCGGCUCACUAAGUAGUAAAGCUCUCCCAGCGUGAAUCUUUUGCAUUCAUAAUGACUCGAAUCUGAGACAUUACUUAAGCGCAACAAGUACUGAAUCGCUUGAACCAACAUACAUUGGUCUUUAAUUAUCAUUAUGGUUAUUAUUGCGUUUUCGUCAA